rnacentral:rRNA from 1 species
GAUGAACGCUGGCGGCGUGCCUAAUACAUGCAAGUCGAGCGAACAGACGAGGAGCUUGCUCCUCUGACGUUAGCGGCGGACGGGUGAGUAACACGUGGAUAACCUACCUAUAAGACUGGGAUAACUUCGGGAAACCGGAGCUAAUACCGGAUAAUAUAUUGAACCGCAUGGUUCAAUAGUGAAAGACGGUUUUGCUGUCACUUAUAGAUGGAUCCGCGCCGCAUUAGCUAGUUGGUAAGGUAACGGCUUACCAAGGCGACGAUGCGUAGCCGACCUGAGAGGGUGAUCGGCCACACUGGAACUGAGACACGGUCCAGACUCCUACGGGAGGCAGCAGUAGGGAAUCUUCCGCAAUGGGCGAAAGCCUGACGGAGCAACGCGGCGUGAGUGAUGAAGGUCUUCGGAUCGUAAAACUCUGUUAUAAGGAAAGAACAAAUGUGUAAGUAACUAGGAACGUCUUGACGGUACCUAAUCAGAAAGCAACGGCUAACUACGU